rnacentral:rRNA from 1 species
GACAGAGGGUGCAAACGUUGUUCGGAAUUACUGGGCGUAAAGCGCGUGUAGGCAGCUCGGAAAGUCGGAUGUGAAAGCCCUGGGCUUAACCUAGGAAGUGCAUUCGAAACUUCCGAGCUGGAGUGCUGGAGAGGAAGGCGGAAUUCUCGGUGUAGAGGUGAAAUUCGUAGAUAUCGAGAGGAACACCGGUGGCGAAGGCGGCCUUCUGGACAGUCACUGACGCUGAGACGCGAAAGCGUGGGGAGCAAACAGG